rnacentral:rRNA from 1 species
GACGAGCCUCACAAACGUUAUUCGGAAUUACUGGGCUUAAAGGGUGCGUAGGCGGCGCGGAAAGUUGGGUGUGAAAUCCCUCGGCUCAACCGAGGAAUUGCGCUCAAAACUACCGUGCUCGAGGGAGAUAGAGGAGCGCGGAACUUAGGGUGGAGCGGUGAAAUGCGUUGAUAUCCUAGGGAACACCGGUGGCGAAAGCGGCGCUCUGGAUCUCAUCUGACGCUGAUGCACGAAAGCUAGGGUAGCGAACGGGAUUAGAUACCCCGGUAGUCCUAGCCGUAAACGAUGAGCACUGGAUUGAAGAUCCCUCCAUAGGUUUUCAGUCGCAGAGAAAUUGUUUAGUGCUCCGCCUGGGGAGUAUGGUCGCAAGGCUGAA